rnacentral:lncRNA from 10 species
CCGGACACAUAUCCGGGACUUUGGCAUGUUGUGCAGGACCUCGCGGUGACUGAGCUCUUUCCUCUGCAGGGCCGACCCUGAGAAUCCGUACAACACAAGGGCAGCUCCUGGGGUCUGCACUCUAGCCUGCUACAUGGGCAGCAAGAUGGGCUCUGGUGGCCAGAAAAAGUCCUACGGCAAAGAAAUGCAGAUACUAGCAGUUGGACCUCCAGCCAGUGUAGUGGAUGGAUUGGUAAAGCUGAAAGCAAAGAACUCUUUAGAUAGUGGAGUCACACUGGAAAAAGCACAGACCCUUGAGUGUACUGCUUGGAGGA